GGUAAUGCCGGAUGUUCCAGUUGAUCGCAUGGUCUUCUGGGAAAGCUUUCGCGGUAUGGGAUGGGGUCGCGUCCUAUCAGCUUGACGGCGGGGUAACGGCCCACCGUGGCUUCGACGGGUAGCCGGCCUGAGAGGGCGACCGGCCACAUUGGGACUGAGAUACGGCCCAGACUCCUACGGGAGGCAGCAGUGGGGAAUAUUGCACAAUGGGCGCAAGCCUGAUGCAGCGACGCCGCGUGAGGGAUGGAGGCCUUCGGGUUGUAAACCUCUUUUAUCGGGGAGCAAGCGUGAGUGAGUUUACCCGUUGAAUAAGCACCGGCUAACUACGUGCCAGCAGCCGCGGUAAUACGUAGGGUGCAAGCGUUAUCCGGAAUUAUUGGGCGUAAAGGGCUCGUAGGCGGUUCGUCGCGUCCGGUGUGAAAGUCCAUCGCUUAACGGUGGAUCCGCGCCGGGUACGGGCGGGCUUGAGUGCGGUAGGGGAGACUGGAAUUCCCGGUGUAACGGUGGAAUGUGUAGAUAUCGAAAAAGAAACA
rnacentral:rRNA from 1 species